CCUACGGGUGGCAGCAGUGAGGAAUAUUGGUCAAUGGUCGGGAGACUGAACCAGCCAAGCCGCGUGAAGGAUGAAGGUACAGAGUAUCGUAAACCUCUUUUGUCAGGGAACAAAGGCGGGGACGUGUCCCCGGAUGAGUGUACCUGAAGAAAAAGCAUCGGCUAACUCCGUGCCAGCAGCCGCGGUAAUACGGAGGAUGCGAGCGUUCUCCGGUUUUAUUGGGGUUAAAGGGUGCGCAGGCGGUCUGUUAAGUCAUCGGGAAAAGCCCGGGGCUCACCCCCGGCCCGCCGUUGAAACUGGCAGUCUUGAGUUGGAGAGAGGUAUGCGGAAUGCGCGGUGUAGCGGUGAAAUGCAUAGAUAUCGCGCAGAACUCCGAUUGCGAAGGCAGCAUGCCGGCGUCACACUGACGCUGAGGCACGAAAGCGUGGGUAUCGAACAGGAUUAGAUACCCGGGUAGUC
rnacentral:rRNA from 1 species